AUGAACGCUGGCGGCGUGCCUAAUGCCUGCCAGUCGAGCGAACGGACGAGAAGCUUGCUUCUCUGAUGUUAGCGGCGGACGGGUGAGUAACACGUGGAUAACCUACCUAUAAGACUGGGAUAACUUCGGGAAACCGGAGCUAAUACCGGAUGAUAUUUUGAACCGCAUGGUUCAAAAGUGAAAGACGGUCUUGCUGUCACUUAUAGAUGGAUCCGCGCUGCAUUAGCUAGUUGGUAAGGUAACGGCUUACCAAGGCAACGAUGCAUAGCCGACCUGAGAGGGUGAUCGGCCACACUGGAACUGAGACACGGUCCAGACUCCUACGGGAGGCAGCGGUAGGGAAUCUUCCGCAAUGGGCGAAAGCCUGACGGAGCAACGCCGCGUGAGUGAUGAAGGUCUUCGGAUCGUAAAACUCUGUUAUUAGGGAAGAACAUAUGUGUAAGUAACUGUGCACAUCUUGACGGUACCUAAUCAGAAAGCCACGGCUAACUACGU
rnacentral:rRNA from 1 species